rnacentral:lncRNA from 1 species
AUAAACCUUUGCUGCUAUAUAAUGGAGAGCUGACCUGCCAAACACAGAGUGGAAAAGUAAACAACAUCUACCUUAGCACCCAUGGCUUUCUCAGCAACUUAAAAGAUACGGGGCCUGACGAACUGAGACCAAUGCUGGCACAGAAUUUAAUGCUAAAGAGGUUUUCUGAUGCUUGGGAAAUGUGCAGGAUUCUGAAUGAUGAGGCUGCCUGGAAUGAGUUGGCCAGAGCUUGUCUACAUCACAUGGAAGUGGAGUUUGCAAUCCGUGUUUAUCGGAGAAUUGGAAAUGUUGGCAUAGUGAUGUCCUUGGAACAAAUAAAGGACACCUUGCCAUGUUUACCAACGAUUAUAACCUGGCUCAGGACUUGUACCUUGCAUCCAGCUGUCCUAUUGCUGCCCUGGAGAUGAGAAGGGAUUUACAGCAUUGGGACAGUGCUCUACAACUGGCAAAGCAUUUGGCCCCAGACCAGAUACCUUUUAUAUCAAAAGAAUAUGCUAUUCAGCUUGAAUUCGCGGGUGAUUAUGUAAAUGCUUUGGCUCAUUAUGAGAAAGGAAUAACAGGUGAUAAUAAG